AUGGUCACCUUCAAUGAGAUCGCUCUGUUGUUUAUGGCGGCAGAGGGGAAGAGCAAGUCCAAGGUGUGUGCCAAUGUGUUCUGUGGGGCUGGCAGGGGAGUGUGCUGUGACAGAGAAAGGGGAACCUUCCUGCCUGUGCAUCGAGCAAUGCAAACCUCAUAAGCGCUCUGUGUGUGGCAGUAACAGUAAGACCUACCGCAACCACUGUGAGCUCCACCGUGACGCCUGCCUGACCGGCCUCAAGGUCCAGGUGGACCACGACGGACACUGUGAAGAGACAAAGACAGACAAAGCUGUUGCUGCUAGCCCAAUCGUGGUGCUACCUGGCCAACAGGAACGAGCUGCGCAGCCGGGUCAUCCAGUGGCUGCAGAAUGAGGUGGUCCCUGACGGCUGGUUCGCCAAGGGCUCCAACUUCUCUGACAUCCUGCUCAAGUACUUCAAGGACUACGACAAUGGAGACUCCCAGCUGGACUCCACUGAGUUCCUUAAGUUCCUCCAGCACAACGAAACAGCCAUCAACAUUACCUCAUAUGCUGACGAGGAGAACAACCGCCUGCUCAGGAGCCUGUGUGUGGAUGCCCUCAUCGAGCUCUCAGAUGAGAACACGGACUGGAAGUUGAGCUUUGAUGAGUUCCUAAACUGCUUCAAGCCUGGCUUCAACCCACCAGAGAGAAAGUGUGCCCUGGAGGAUGAGACCUAUGAGGACGGGGCAGAGACUCAGGUGGAGUGUAACCGCUGUGUCUGUGCCUGUGGGAACUGGGUCUGCACAGCUGUGACCUGCGAAGGCACGAAGAAGGUGCCUGCUGUGGAGAAGACUGAAGGUGCUGACCAGGAGAUGACAGAGGAGGAGUGGACACGGAGAGUGGCUGAGCUCAACAAACAUCAGGAAACUGUGGAGAAGAUGAAAGUGAGCACUAAGGACAUUUGAGAGAGAGAGAGAGAGAGAGAGAGAGAGAAGCCCUCCUUCAGUCCCACCAUCAACAAUCACUAUCUGGCUGAAGCUUUGGAGCUUGUACUGUCGUUAAAGAAAUGCAUCACUAUUGUUUUUAUUUUUAUAUUUUACAAUGUUCAUUAUUAUGAUUUUUUAAAACUGUACCAAUGUAUAUUAUAAUAUUAUUGUGUAGAGGGGAGACUAGUUGAAUUGUGUGUACCUACAAACACAGUACUGUUAUCCUAUUUGAGUAACACUCCCAAGCCUUGGCAAGAAUCCCCAUCACCUAGUGGUGGGUUGAUAAUUUCAUUAUUUUUAGUUGAUUUGUUGUUUUCGUUGUUGUUUCUGUCAGUCAAAUUAGCUCAUCUGUAGAAAAUACAAGAGUUUGUGACUUGGAGCUAUAAAGAAAGCACAAGUUGUAAAUAACUACUUUUAGCAGAAAAUGACUUCACAGUUGCCACGUCACAUACCAACCACAUCACAGAGGAUUGAGAUAAGCAAUUCAGCAAGAAAGUCUUAUCAAAUGCAUUGACCUUACAGGGUGCUAUUCCAGACACCUGGGUAUUAUAUAGGGCCAGUAAAUCAUAUCAAAGAUGAACACAUGGCUGAAUUGUAAAUGUUUCCUGAAUGCCAUUAUAAAUUCAUCAACAGUGUGAUUACACUUGCCUGUCAGUGUUACUACUCAUAUCAUAUAUACAGUAAAACCCAUUGACCCAUAAUAUCUGAUGGUGCCAGGGUUCAAUCUGUUAGGAAAAGGAAAAUGAGGAAGGUCCGCACUCAGUCUUUGCAGUGAAAGACAAUAAUAUUUAUUCCAUCUCUAUUUUCUGGUCUAUGCACCAACAAUAUGACAAGAAUCUAUGAUUAGAUGUGUGCAGGGUUUCCUCCUUUUUCAAGGUAAAGUGAUGAUGCUAGGGUUCAAUCUGUAGGCUACAUGUCUGCACUGAUGAGGUAAUGUUGUCCAUCCAUUUACAAAUGGCUUUUCUAUCAUGGGGUUGUAGAUGUAUUACUC